rnacentral:rRNA from 1 species
CGUAACAAGGUUUCCGUAGGUGAACCUGCGGAAGGAUCAUUACCGAGGACCAGGAUACGCAAGUAUCCUGAAACUCUCAACCCUAUGUUUACUAGCCUUGUUGCUUUGGCGGGAGACCCCGUAGACUCGUCGAGUUUCUACGGCCUUUUCAAAGCCUUAAUCAGCUUUGCAAUUGGGCCCGCCAAAGGAAGAAAUCUCAAAACCGAAUAAUCUUGUCUGAACAAUAUUACAAAAAAACAUAAAUGAAAACUUUCAACAACGGAUCUCUUGGUUCUGGCAUCGAUGAAGAACGCAGCGAAAUGCGAUAAGUAGUGUGAAUUGCAGAAUUCAGUGAAUCAUCGAAUCUUUGAACGCACAUUGCACCCGCCGGUAUUCCGGCGGGUAUACCUGUUCGAGCGUCAUAUCAAACCUCAAGCUUUAGCUUGGUUUUGGGUUACAUCUAUUGUAAGAUGAACUUUGAAGAACAAGACAGCGGUAUUAUAGUAGAACAGUACCCCGAGUGUUGCGAAAUCAAUUCUCUCUGGGACUUUAACAAGUACUAGCUGGAAUAGAAGACGCGUAACACGCGGCUCUUAUUCAACCUUUUAUUACCAAGAAUUUGACCUCGGAUCAGGUAGGGAUACCCGCUGAACUUAAGCAUAUCAAUAAGCGGAGGACAAGAAACCAACAGGGAUUGCCUUAGUAACGGCGAGUGAAGCGGCAAAAGCUCAGAUUUGAAAUCUGACUCUCUCCAGAGUCUGAGUUGUAAUCUGCAGAGGAUGCUUCGGAGGUGAUAUCAGUCCAAGUUCCUUGGAACAGGACGUCAGAGAGGGUGAGAAUCCCGUUUGUAACUGAUAUAUCUGCCUCUACGUGAAGCUCCCUCGACGAGUCGAGUUGUUUGGGAAUGCAGCUCAAAAUGGGAGGUAAAUUUCUUCUAAAGCUAAAUAUUGGCCAGAGACCGAUAGCGCACAAGUAGAGUGAUCGAAAGAUGAAAAGCACUUUGGAAAGAGAGUUAAACAGCACGUGAAAUUGUUGAAAGGGAAGCGCUCACGAUUAGACUUGCUCGUAUGAAUUCCAGUGUCCUCUUGAGAAUACUAUUUAUUCCUCGCAGCAGGCCAGCGUUGGUUAAGACGGCUAUUGAAGAAUCGGAGAAAAGUGGCCUACUCUUCGGAUCAGGUGUUAUAGUCUUUGAUAUGAUAUAGCCAGUAUUGACCGAGGUCCGCGCCUUUUGGCUGGGACGCUGGCAUAAUAGUCGUGAGCGGCC